ensembl:misc_RNA Metazoa_SRP Metazoan signal recognition particle RNA
UCUGGGUACAGUGGCUAAUGCCUAUAAUCCCAGCAUUUUAGGAGGCCAAGGUGGGAGGAUCACUUGAGCCUCAGAAUUCGAGGCUGCAGUGAGCUAUGACCAUGCCCACUGCACUUCAGACUUCAGCCUGGGCAACAGAGGCCCUGCCUCUUAAAAAAAAAAAAAAAAAAGAAAAGAAAGAAAAACAUGGUGUCCUCCUGGGAGUGAAAGACCAGCAGGUUGCCUACAAAGGGGUGAACUGACCCAGGUUGGAAACUGAGCAGGUCAAAACUCCUGUGCUGAUUAGUAGUGGGAUUGUACCUUUGAAUAUCCACUGCACUGUAGCCUGGCCAACACAGUGAGACCCCAUGUCUA